rnacentral:rRNA from 1 species
GAGUGAACGCUGGCGGUAGGCCUAACACCUGCAAGUCGAACGGCAGCACAGUAAGAGCUUGCUCUUACGGGUGGCGAGUGGCGGACGGGUGAGGAAUACAUCGGAAUCUACUUUUUCGUGGGGGAUAACGUAGGGAAACUUACGCUAAUACCGCAUACGACCUACGGGUGAAAGCAGGGGAUCUUCGGACCUUGCGCGAUUGAAUGAGCCGAUGUCGGAUUAGCUAGUUGGCGGGGUAAAGGCCCACCAAGGCGACGAUCCGUAGCUGGUCUGAGAGGAUGAUCAGCCACACUGGAACUGAGACACGGUCCAGACUCCUACGGGAGGCAGCAGUGGGGAAUAUUGGACAAUGGGCGCAAGCCUGAUCCAGCCAUACCGCGUGGGUGAAGAAGGCCUUCGGGUUGUAAAGCCCUUUUGUUGGGAAAGAAAAGCAGCAGGUUAAUACCCCGCUGUUCUGACGGUACCCAAAGAAUAAGCACCGGCUAACUUCGUG